rnacentral:rRNA from 1 species
UUGCACGCUGGCGGCAGGCCUCACCCCUGCCAGUCGAGCGGAUGAGGGGAGCUUGCUCCUGGAUUCAGCGGCGGACGGGUGAGUAAUGCCUAGGAAUCUGCCUGGUAGUGGGGGAUAACGUCCGGAAACGGGCGCUAAUACCGCAUACGUCCUGAGGGAGAAAGUGGGGGAUCUUCGGACCUCACGCUAUCAGAUGAGCCUAGGUCGGAUUAGCUAGUUGGUGGGGUAAAGGCCUACCAAGGCGACGAUCCGUAACUGGUCUGAGAGGAUGAUCAGUCACACUGGAACUGAGACACGGUCCAGACUCCUACGGGAGGCAGCAGUGGGGAAUAUUGGACAAUGGGCGAAAGCCUGAUCCAGCCAUGCCGCGUGUGUGAAGAAGGUCUUCGGAUUGUAAAGCACUUUAAGUUGGGAGGAAGGGCAGUAAGUUAAUACCUUGCUGUUUUGACGUUACCAACAGAAUAAGCACCGGCUAACUUCGUG